rnacentral:rRNA from 1 species
CACGUAGUUAGCCGUGGCUUUCUGGUUAGAUACCGUCACUAGGUAAACAGUUACUCUUACCUACAUUCUUCUCUAACAACAGAGCUUUACGAUCCGAAAACCUUCUUCACUCACGCGGCGUUGCUCCAUCAGACUUUCGUCCAUUGUGGAAGAUUCCCUACUGCUGCCUCCCGUAGGAGUUUGGGCCGUGUCUCAGUCCCAAUGUGGCCGAUCACCCUCUCAGGUCGGCUACGUAUCAUUGCCUUGGUGGGCCUUUACCUCACCAACUAGCUAAUACGCCGCGGGUCCAUCCAAAAGUGACAGCUUACGCCGUCUUUCAUUAUCAAACCAUGCGGUUUAACAAAUUAUGCGGUAUUAGCACCUGUUUCCAAGUGUUACUCCCCCUCUUUUGGGCAGGUUACCCACGUGUUACUCACCCGUUCGCCACUCAUUGUCUUCGGUGAGUGCAAGCACUCGGUGAAGAACAUGCGUUCGACUUGCUAUGUAUUAGGCACGGCCGCCAGGC